CGGCCAUAGUGGGUGAUAGCCCUGUACGCGAAAAUCUCUUAGUCAUGAAAUCGAGUAGGACGGAGCACGAGAAACUUUGUCUGAAUAUGGGGGGACCAUCCUCCAAGGCUAAAUACUACUGACUGACCGAUAGUGAACUAGUACCGUGAGGGAAAGGCGAAAAGAACCCCGGAGAGGGGAGUGAAAUAGAUCCUGAAACCGUAUGCGUACAAGCAGUGGGAGCCUACUUUGUUAGGUGACUGCGUACCUUUUGUAUAAUGGGUCAGCGACUUAUUUUCAGUGGCGAGCUUAACCGAAUAGGGGAGGCGUAGCGAAAGCGAGUCUUAAUAGGGCGUCUAGUCGCUGGGAAUAGACCCGAAACCGGGCGAUCUAUCCAUGGGCAGGUUGAAGGUUGGGUAACACUAACUGGAGGACCGAACCGACUACCGUUGAAAAGUUAGCGGAUGACCUGUGGAUCGGAGUGAAAGGCUAAUCAAGCUCGGAGAUAGCUGGUUCUCCUCGAAAGCUAUUUAGGUAGCGCCUCAUGUAUCACUGUAGGGGGUAGAGCACUGUUUCGGCUAGGGGGUCAUCCCGACUUACCAAACCGAUGCAAACUCCGAAUACCUACAAGUGCCGAGCAUGGGAGACACACGGCGGGUGCUAACGUCCGUCGUGAAAAGGGAAACAACCCAGACCGUCAGCUAAGGUCCCAAAGUUAUGGUUAAGUGGGAAACGAUGUGGGAAGGCUUAGACAGCUAGGAGGUUGGCUUAGAAGCAGCCACCCUUUAAAGAAAGCGUAAUAGCUCACUAGUCGAGUCGGCCUGCGCGGAAGAUGUAACGGGGCUCAAACCAUACACCGAAGCUACGGGUAUCACGUAAGUGAUGCGGUAGAGGAGCGUUCUGUAAGCCUGUGAAGGUGAGUUGAGAAGCUUGCUGGAGGUAUCAGAAGUGCGAAUGCUGACAUGAGUAACGACAAUGGGUGUGAAAAACACCCACGCCGAAAGACCAAGGUUUCCUGCGCAACGUUAAUCGACGCAGGGUUAGUCGGUCCCUAAGGCGAGGCUGAAAAGCGUAGUCGAUGGAAAACAGGUUAAUAUUCCUGUACUUCUGGUUAUUGCGAUGGAGGGACGGAGAAGGCUAGGCCAGCUUGGCGUUGGUUGUCCAAGUUUAAGGUGGUAGGCUGAGAUCUUAGGUAAAUCCGGGAUCUUAAGGCCGAGAGCUGAUGACGAG
rnacentral:rRNA from 2 species